UCCCAAGCUCCAUCCAGAACACAAAGGU
rnacentral:piRNA from 1 species